UACGUAGGGGCCUAGCGUUGUCCGGAAUCAUUGGGCGUAAAGAGCGCGUAGGCGGCCCGGUAAGUCCGCUGUAAAAGUCAAAGGCUCAACCUUUGAAUGUCAGUGGAUACUGCCGGGCUAGAGUCCGGAAGAGGCGAGUGGAAUUCCUGGUGUAGCGGUGGAAUGCGCAGAUAUCAGGAGGAACACCAACGGCGAAGGCAGCUCGCUAGGACGGUACUGACGCUGAGGAGCGAAAGCCAGGGGAGCAAACGGG
rnacentral:rRNA from 1 species